AGCUCAAAUUUGAAAUCUGGCCCUCGGGUCCGAAUUGUAGUUUAAAGAAGCGUUUUCGGUGGCAGCCUGGGUAUAAAUCCUUUGGAACAGGGUAUCGUAGAGGGUGAGAAUCCCGUCUUUGACUCAGUGCUAUGCUACUCUGUGAUACGUUUUCAAA
rnacentral:rRNA from 1 species